rnacentral:rRNA from 1 species
CGGACGGGUGAGUAAUGCUUGGGAAUCUAGCUUAUGGAGGGGGAUAACUACGGGAAACUGUAGCUAAUACCGCGUAAUAUCGAGAGAUUAAAGUGUGGGACCUUCGGGCCACAUGCCAUAGGAUGAGCCCAAGUGGGAUUAGGUAGUUGGUGAGGUAAAGGCUCACCAAGCCGACGAUCCCUAGCUGGUCUGAGGGGAUGACCAGCCACACUGGGACUGAGACACGGCCCAG